CCCUACUUUUAUAUGAUUGGUGUCCUUAUCAGAAGAAGAGAUUAGAAAGAGAGAGAAAGCCCCUUGUCUAAGGAAUUCCCUGGCAGUCCAGUGGUUAGCACUCCAUGCUUUCACUGCUGAGGGCGCAGGUUCAAUUCCUGGUUGGGGAACUAAGAUCCCAAAAGCUGUGGUCAAAAAAAUAAAAAGCCGAAAGAAAGAAAGAAGAGGAGAUUAGGACCUAGGCAGGGGGAAGGCCACAGAAGACAAAGAGGAAAAGAGGGACCUUAAAACAAAUCAACCCUGCUGACACUUUGAUUUCAGAUGUCUAACCUCCAGGAUUGUGAGAAAAUUAAUUUCUGUUGUUGAAGUCUCCGCAGCAGGAGUCCUGUGCUUCAGCAGCCUGAACAAACUAUAAUUCACCAAUUUUCCUAAAGAUAUACUUUUACGCAAGACUGAGAAAAUGUGCAUUGUCCACAGCAAAGACUAUUACCUUCUGGUGGUGGCUCUGAGAGAUGGAGCUGAUGGUGACCAGGGGACCUUGGGUAACCCCAGCCCUUAGGUGUCGCCCCUGCCGGCUACAUGUGAGCAUCCCUGGCCUUUCAGGAAGACAAAGGUCAGGAAGUAAUCGCAGCGCUCAUCCCCACUGGGAAGCACCCAGGGCUUGCCCCAAGAUGUGACCUCCAGUUCCCUGUCAAGACUGUAGCCCUACUAGGAGCUCCAGUCUGGCCCCGAGGCCCCUGCUGGGUCUCAGCGGUCCCCUAUCAGGGACCAGUGGGACCCUCUCUGAAGGGGCUUCACCAACUCCCAGACCUGCUCUUCCCUCAUCUCUGUCUCCAGAGAUUCACCUUUACACUGCCAUCAGACCCUGGAAUACAGCUGGUGGUCUGGAGGAAUUCGCUGUCUCCACAUCUCUGGAACAGCUCUAUGUGGAGCUUCCAAGCCCUGGGCAUCUUACUCUCAGAGGCUACAUCCCUGGCAGACUCUUGAGAGUCCCUUGGACUGCAAGGAGAUCCAACCAAUCCACCCUAAAGGAAAUCAGCCCUGAAUACUCAUUGGAAGGACUGAUGCGGAAGCUGAAACUCCAAUCCUUUGGCCACCUGAUAAGAAGAACUGACUCAUUGGAAAAGACCCCGAUGCUGGAAAGGAUUAAGGGCAGGAGGAGAAGGGGGCGACAGAGGAUGAGAUGGUUAGAUAGCUCUACUGGCUGAAUGCAUAUGAAUUUGAGCAAAUUCUGGGAGAUAGUGAAGGGCAGAGGAGCCUGGAGUGCUGCAGUCCACGGAGUCGCAAGGAGUCGACCCGACUGAGCGACUGGAAAAAAAACAACAUCCCUAAAUGUAUUCAAAUGGACCCACGUGCCACAGCGCAUAUAAUUUACAUAAAGUGCAGGAGCUGAGUUACAAUUGCGUAGUUAACAUUUUGUAGACCAUUUAGCCAUUUCAUCCUUACAACAUACUUUUCUAAUUUGGGAGCUAGCAAUGAUCCCAGCUGUGGCUCAGGUGUUGCCAUGAGUGUUUGAAAAGCUGGGUGGGCUGACCCCAGAGGAUCCCUCCAGGCACCCAGGCCCCAAUCUCCUUGGGUGCUGGAGCAUAGGAGGGACAGCACUUUUCCCAGCAGAGCUGUCUUGCUUGUCCCUAAACCUGCUCUUUGGCUACUUCCCACCUCUUCUUGCUUCUAGCAGAUUUUCAACGAGGCCAGAAACCAAGGGCUAGGAGGUCCUUGGGGUUUCCAAGGUGGUGCCAGUGUUAAAAAAAAAAAUAAACAAACAAACAAAAAAACCCGUGUGCCAAUGCAGGAGAUGUAAGAGACACUGGUUCAGUCCCUGAUUUGGGUUACAAUCCAUGGGGUCGCAAACAGUCAGACUCAACUGAGCAACUAACACACACUUUCACUUCAGAUAAGUACUUUUUUUUUUUUUUUUAGUAUCAGGGUAUCCCAAAUGUUGUAGUUGAUCUGAAACUCAAAUGUAACUGGGUGUCCUGUAUUUUUAUGUACCGAACUGCUCACCCUCCGAGUGCCCCCUUCCGUGUGGGUCCGGCCCCUCCACCCUGCAGCUGUGAGUUUUCUUGACACCUCAACAGCGUGAGUCACACAGUUGUGGACUUCUAGGCAAAUGUUUUUGAGCAGAACAGCGUCAUGGUUUGGGGAAAUCCCCACACUGUCCCCAUAACGCAUGUGUUGGCAAAGCAGAAACCCUAACACGAUGCCUGUAAGAGGAGAACAGAAGAGGCGACAGGAGUGUGGAUGUCCUGGGGAGACCCCCAGCCGUGGCCGUGCUGCAAAGCCGGCGGUAACUAGAUCGCUGGCUCUUCACCACUCAGAGCUUGCUUUGAGGAUCGGCGAUAUUGGAGAUCACACCUUCCCAGCCAGCUCCUUUGAGGGCCUGAUAGUCUUUCUUCCCCGCCUUUCUGAGAAGCAGUCUACUGGGAAGAACAGGCUUGCGGGCUGGGUGAAUGGGCAGGUUGCUUGACUUCAGGAGUAACAAUGGUGUCUUUGUCAUGGGAUUGCCCCCUCGGUUGGGGGGGUGGGUUACAGGAGGAUAUUCAUGUAAAAUGCUAGCACACGGUAAGUGCUUAGCCUCCAUGGUGGCUCUUGUUUAUAAUCACAUCAGGACUUCUGCUUUGCCACCAAGCCAAGCCUUCUUAAAAAAAAGGCAGGCUCUCAGUUCUUGGGGCUCCCACAGUGUGUCCUCAAAGAAGUUUGGAGGUCUUCCGUGGCCCAGCAUCGGCAAGAAGCUGGAGUCACCUGUUGGGUCUUGAUCUGGGUCAGAUGUUGAGUCGCCCAGCAGAGCCCCGAGGAAGCUGAGCUCCCAGGACGUCGGCUGGGAGGGCUGAGGAAAUAAAUUUCCACCUGGCAGGUCCCCGAGGGAGGGCAGGCCACAUUCUGUGCAUGCACUGCACGUGUUGGUGGGGGCAGGGAGGGGCGCAGGGGACGUGUGACCGGAGGGGGAAGAAAGGAGAGGGGCAUGGGAAAGGGCCUGCAAAACUCGGGUCCAGUUUUCCUCUUUUGGAAUGUCCACCUGUGAACCCGAGAUAGGAAAGCCCCUGCCGUGGGACGUCUCUUCCCUUAACACCUGGCUCUGCACUGCGGGGUUGGGACACUCCGGCUUCUUAGAAAGAAACUGAAAGCCCUUAGGAGAAACUCCCCCACUUCCCCUUCCUGAAGAGGAACUUGGAGUUGCCCUGACAGGAAAGUCUUGGUGGGGUUUCUCGGAAGCUGCCGCCCGCUGUUCUACUGAGGAAAACCGCAGGCCCGGGGCCAGGCCAGGGGCCCGGCGGGUAGAGAGCUGGCCAUUGACAAAGCUGUGGCCCAGCUGAAUUGGGAAGCCGCCAAGCUUUUCUCUUCAGCUCCACCUGCCACCUCCUCUCUGGGGAGUCCUCACGCUGCUCCCCUCCCCUCAGCCGCCCCGGGGUCCCCUUCCGGCUGCCCUCGGGCUCUCUACCCUAGACCCCUGCUUGUGUCAGAGCACCAGCGUCCCAUACUGUAAAUGCGUUUCCACCCGGCACGAUGCAGCCAUCCAGUUACCAUCUGUGCAGAGAGGCACCGACCCUCUAGUAGGGGGAGCUGGGGGGGCACAGGGAGCUAUGUUGUAGAAGACCUCUCACCCUCUGAGCUGUCUGGGCAGCCUGGUGAGUGGAAAAUGGGCAUCUUCUGGGCACAUAGGGCUGCCUGCCUUAACAGUGGCUGUUGUUUGCUUCAUUUCUAGAGUGGACACAGGCUUCUCUCUGGAGACUGGGGCGGGGGUGCACCUCUCCCCUUCGCAGACACGUCCGAGGACUGCUGCUGCAGAAAGAAGAGGCAGUACCCAGGGACAAACCACGUGCAAGGCCCCCAGCCCUAGGAGGGGCUGAGAGACCCUCAGGGCCUAUGCUUUGGUACAGACGUGUCACUAGCUAUGGCACCGGAAUCUGGCCGGGCUGUUUCCCGGCUGGAAGCUUUCCAUGGCUCCCCACUGCCUGCGGGGACAAAGUCCAGACUCUGUGGCCCGUGUGUAAGGCCCUCUGCCCAGGGUCUCAACUGUCCCCUCCAGCUCCUCCUCUGUGCUUCCCUCUAUUUGACCUCUGCCUCCUUCACCCAGCCAUCUCCCGCUCACAGGCUUUGACCCAGCAGGGGCUGGAUCUCUUGGGCAACUUGUCCCUGCCCCCAACUCCAGUCUAGAUGGGUUAGGGGCUGCCUCUGCGAGCUCACCAGGCGCAUCUCUCCUGGGACCCUUACCUACAUCGCCUGGUUACUGCCUGGUCUCUUGAUCAUCACCCAGCCAGGGAUAGCAACUGUGGGCUUGGCGUAUCUGAAAGAACGUUCGGUAAAGGAAGAAAUGAGUACGUGAGUGAAUUCAGUGCUAUCUGCCAGGCCGUGUGGCAGAGAGCCCCACAUGCCCACGGGCCCAGACAUCCACGUGUGGAUGCGUCCGCCCCCAUGCAGUGGGAGGGGACACGUGCUUGCUUGUCAUGGUGUUCCUGCUGAGUGUGUGUGUGCGUGCGUGUGUGUGGGUCCCUGCAUUAAUCAGCCAGCAUCGCUGCUGGCGUCCUUCUGGCCAGCAGGUGGCGCUGCGCCCCUCCACGGCAGCGUGUGUCCAUCCUGACUGCCACUGGCUGUCAUCACCGGAGGGAGCCUGCCUCCCUCAUCCUACAGGGGGCCAGGCCCGCAGGGUCUCCUGGGGAAUCAGUCUUGGUCUUCCAAUAGAGCAGCCAGGGCUCUGAUGCCACAGUGUGCGAACUCCGGUUCAACCCAUGUCCGUGGCACGAUGAACACCGAGCGCCAACCCGGACCUCCACAGGACAGCCUGAAGUCCAGGCAGCUGUGGAGCACAAAGCUUGAAAUAAAAGUAUGAGCUCAAAAAAAAAAUAAUAAAGUAUGGUCUCAGAGUCCCAGCUCUUAAGUGGAAAUCAUGGCAAUGUGUAAGAUGAUAUAAUUGAGGUAAACCAAGGACCAUGGGGGGGCUGUAUCACUCUCAAACUGUAGCCCUGGAGGGCUUGUUAAAACAUGGAUUCCUGGGCUUCACCUGCCAGAGUCUCAGAUUCAGAGGGUCUGGGGUGGGGCCUGUGAAUCUGUAUUUCUAACAAGUUCCUGAGUGGGUGCUGAUGCUGCUGGUAUGGGGACCACAUUUUGAGAACCCCUGGGUACAUACUUAGGGGAGACACAAGGUUACAAAUGCAGCAGGCUUCUGGUGAGAUGUGAUGGAAGCAGAGGUGACGGAGGGGCAAACUCCAGGCGCUGCAGGGCCAAGGAGAGGGGACAGACCCCCGUGACCUGGGCAGUAGGAAGGGGAGUGGACCCGGCUGUGCUCACUCCCACCACCGUUCUCAGCUCUGCCCCUGGGCAGUCGCACUGGAGGAAGUGAGCCCAGCGGCCGGCUGUCCGGUUGGCGGGGCACCAGGCUUGCUCCACUCCACGUGGCUGCUGCCUUUCCCCGAAAGGGAUGGGUCAGUUCUCUGCUCCGGGCCUGGCCUCUGCUGUGCUUCCUCAGCUUCUGGGAACUCGCAUUUCCUUUCUGUUUCUUUUUUUAAUACUGCUUUCAAAUCCAAUUAUCAUGAAGGCAAAGCAUGUCCAUCUUAGAACAUCCAUACAAAGCAGAAAAGUGUAAUGGAGAAAGCAAAGUUUCUUCUUCAGUGGAAGUUCCAGUCACUCAGAGGUAAUCAUCGUCUACUUCCUUCCUUGUACAGGUGUCUCCUGCACAAUAUUCUAUCCGCUUGGUAUUGUAGCGUGAGUGUUGCCCUUUGACAUGAACAUCCUUAGGAAACAUGAAUUUAAGGGCGGCACAAGUGCACAGGUGCCGCUCUUGAUGUAGAAACCGUGACCACCUGACCAGAAGUGUCAGGUGACUUCUCCAGGGGAACCUCCCAGAAAGGGACUCGCUGGGGCGAAAGGCAUGAAAAUUUUAAGACUCUUAAUACAUAUGAACCACUUGCUUCCCAGAAACAUUGUGCAGGUUGGUGGCCCGGCCCAGGGUGGGAGGGGAAUGAUAGCUGCUGGGCCAAAUUCACAAUGUUUGAAAUGAAAUGAGGAGGCCUAUGCGGCCACACGGUGGGAUGGAAGAAGGGCCUGGCACUGUCCAGCCUCCACAGCUGCUUGGGCAGUGCCAUGCCCCAUGCCAUGCUUCCGGUGGAGGGUGUGGCACCUCUGAUGGGACCUGGCCGGGGCAGAGAUGCCCUCCUGUCCUGGAGCCAGUGUGGGACUAGUGUCAGAACAUCAGAAAUGACCACUUAUGGGACUUCCUUGGCGGUCCGGUAGUUAAGACUCUGUGCUCCGAGUGCAUGGGGUCCAGGUUCAAUCACUGGUCAGGGAACUAGAUCCCACAUGCCGCACAGCUUGACCUAAAAACAAAUGACCACUUCUUCCCACUUCACCACCACCAACCUGACCCAUCUCCACCAGGAUGGUCUCGGUAGCCCUUCAUUGUCUCCCUGUCCCCAUCCGUCCCUUGCCACGUUAGUCUGUCUCCGUAGCAGCCAGAGAGAUCCUUUUCAAACCUAAGUCAAGUUGGGCCACUCUUCAGCUCAAAACCCUCCAAUGGCUCCCAUCUCACUCAGGGUUAAAAGCAAAGACCUCACUGUGACCUCCAAGGUCUUUAGGAUCCGUGCCUCCCCUACUGCCAUUAGCUCUCUGACCUUGCUUCCCACUACCCCUCCCUUACCUGCUCAGCCGCUCAAUGCUCCUCAGAACAACCCGGCAUAGUCCUGCCACAGGGCCUUUGCACUGCCGUUCCCUCUGCCUCAGCUAGCCACACUUCCUCAGCCAUCCACAGGCCUCCUCUGCUCAAACGUCAUUUCAGAGACAACCACAGGCAAAUAUGCCCUAUUCUGGAAAGCCCCUCCCUGGCCACUGUGUUGGUUCCCUCACCCUGUGUGACGCUCCUCAGGGCAUUGCUCACUCACCUGACCGUCUGCCUUCCUGCCGAAGAGAGGCCUCUGUGAGGACGGUCCUCUUUGCCCAUUUUGUUCUGUCUGGUUUUCUGUGAACCUGUUGAACAGACAACUUUUUUUUUUUUAAGUGAGAAGGCAUGGGAAACUCCCCCAACCAGGGAUUGAACCUGUGGUCUCUGCAAUGGAAGCGUGGAAUCUUAAGCACUAGACCACCAGAGAAAUCCUGAAUGGACAACUGACCGAAAGAUUUCAGCAGCUGGGUACGCGUGUGGUUUCUCCCCUUGAUCGUACCUUGCCACUUCUAAGUUGCCAGCUUGUGGACAGCAGCCGGUCCAUACCAAGCACCCAAGUAGUGUUUAUGUGGAGAACUUGAGGUGGGGCACAGGAGACGGCUGCAUGGAGACUGGAAAACUGGGACUUGAGAUGAGCCCCUGCCACUCUUAAUCACACAGGCCUUGGGCAAGUCCCCUCACCUCUUUGAACCUUGGUUUUGUCAUCCAUAAAAUGGGUAUGAUGAUACCUGUGCUGCCAGCAUCACAGGGCUGUGGUGAGGAUUAAAUGACAAAUGUAGGUCAGCAAAGCCCAAGGACAGUCCUGCUCAAGCUGCAGCUCCUCUCUGAGGCUCUGCCCAAUACCGCUCACCCCAGCAGCCACUCCCUGUUCUGAGUGCCUGUGGAGCCCUGCAUAGGUAUGUGGGUGUCUGAGAGCCGUGCUGGUGUAUUUACUAAGACUGUGCACCCUUGAGACAGGGCCAGGCCUCACCAUCUCUGCAUCCAUCGGCAGAGCACUGUGCCUGGCAGCUGGGCAGUGCCCCUUGGACAUCUGAUGACUGGCCAACAAAUAUAUUCAUUGAACGUGAUAGACAAGUUACUGUGAUAUGAAUAAAUAAGGGUGGGGAUUUCAGACCCAGACAGAGGGCUGGGGUGAGGCCACGCAGCUAGGGGCUGUCUGGGUUCUGGGCAGAGGGCCCGCAGGGAGACCAAGUGCCCCGACUGAAGAGGAAAUGUGGGAGGGAACCAGAUUCAGUGACACUGGGAUACGGCCUGGCCAGCAUCUUCCCCAGAGAUCCGCCACAUGGAGAGCAUCUUCUGGGCUUUGGGGCAGAGGCCUGGCUACCCACCUGCAUUCCUUGCUCUGUGUACCCAGGAUCUCAUGCUGGCCUUGCGGGCCACCCACAGGCUAGAAGGCUUUGCCCCACUCUGAGCUCAUGGAACUCAAUGCCCUGACCUGAGACAGGGAGUCAUCUCACCUGGGUUCAGGCAGGCACCCUGGUGGAAUUUGGUCAGGGAGACCACGCCACACUAUUCAGUCGGGUUUUAAAAGCCCCAGUGAUCCUAUGCCCCUACUCAAUAAACUCUGGCCAAAUGACUCUCCCUAGGGCUGCCCAGGGAGGGUCCUGGGGUUUUCCAGGCCCUGCUGCCUUCCCUCUGCAGACUGGAUGACCCAGACAGACUUAGCUGACAAACAGGCCCUACCCGGGAGGGGCGUGGGAUGCAGUGAGCGAAACUCCAUUUAGGAAGGAAAUCUCAAAGCCAAAGUUGAGAAACCAGUGUCUCGCCAAGGCCUGGGGGGGUGGCGGGGGAGAGCCCAGGUGAGCCGACUCAGUCCUCAGGAAUGGGUGGGGUCUCGAGGUGGGGGGGGGGGGGGGCUGGGCAGGCACUUCCUCCCGCCCCAGCCCAGGGUCUUGUUCAAUCCUUACUGAGGAGUUUCCUGGCGACAGGUAGUGACCUGUCGGCCGCCCGUGUGGGAAGCAGCUUGGCGUGGCCCUCACCAUCUCAUUAGCCGUGAUUCACCCAGGACUCACCUGCUGUCAGGGACCUGUCCCACUGCCCGCCAGAACCAGCCUGGCCGGCACCCUUGGAGAAACCCAGACCCCGUUCCUGCGGCAGUCCAGCCUCCACGGCAGCCGGGGCCAAGCCUCCCUGGCACAUAGUCACUACUCAGAAUUCAUUUGUUCAACCAACAAAUAUUUACUUAUUUGCACACCUACUGUAUGCCAGGCGCUACUGCUAGUGCUGAGGACACCGAGUGAACCAGGCAGAUCCAAAUCCUUGCCCUCCUGGAGCUCAGCUCUCAGGGGAAAAGACAGACAGUAAACAAAUAAGUGAAUCAUACAAGCUCUUGAAGAUGGUGAGUGCUGCGGAGAAAAAGGAGGGAAGAGCAUGAUACGAGUUGCAAUUUUAAAUAGUGUAUUAGGAUGUACCGCUCUGAGAGGUGAAUCUGAACAAAAUCUGAUGAAGAUGUACAAAUAAGGAAGGGGAGAGGUGUAAUAGAAACAGCAAGUGCAAAGGACGUGGGGCAGGGAUGCAGGGUGGGGGCCGUGUUUGAGGACCGGCAAGGAGACGGGGGUAGCCGAAACAGAGCUGGCAAAGAGAAGACAGUGGAAGAUGGGGGUCAAGGCUGCGGGGGCAGGUCACCCAGUCUGUGCAGGGUCUCACAGGCCUUUGUAAGAACUUUGGCUUUUACUCAGCUGAAUUCUGUUAAAAAUUCUCCAAAAUCCCCCCUUCCCCCCCUAUUUUGAGCCCAAGACAAGUUUUCCAGGCUUUUGCCUGGCUCAAGAGGCCAGAGAGCUAAGUCAAGGGUCAGGGUUAUUUUCACCAGGGAGGGUCUGGAAGGACAAGUUUGCUGAUGAGAAUGUCACUGCCUGUGGAGGAUGGGGGAAGAGGAAGAUGCCUGUCUGAGAAUCAAGUACCUACUGCAGAGAGACACCGUGGGGAGAGGAGGCGAAGGGAGCAGAGGCUGAAGAGGAAAGGUGUCGGCAGUUAGAGACAGCCUUGCCCAGCCACUCCAAGCCUAACCCUCUAGACUCACCUGGGACACACCCCACUGAUACUCUGCUCCAACCUCUCUGUCAGCUCUGGCCCGCUGUACCUGCUGUUCCCUCUGCUUGGGAAUCCUCGCUGUUCUUUGCCUGGUGAACUCCCACUCAACCUCCACGAAGGGGUCGCUGAGCCCCCAGAGCAGGUGCUCCUCCCACCAGCCCAGCAUUUCACUCCCACCCCUGGAAGCAUUUUCACACUGAGUCAUACCUGCCCACUGAGGAGUCUCGCUUCUCCGUGAGACCAUGGCUGCGGACCACGCUGGGGGUUGCUCACCUUUCCAUCCUCUGAGCUGGGCACAGAGUAGGUGCUGAAACAGCUAAACGAGUGAGAAAUCGCUUGUUAGGAUUUGGAUCUCUUCAAGGUUUUGGAACAGCGACAAGACCAGAUUCACAUUUUAAGAAGAUGACUGUCUCAGUGUGUGUGUCUGUGUGUGUGGAGGUGUGGGGGAAAGAUCGGAGGAGGGUGACAGCUAAGAGGCUACUGCAGCAGUCCAAGCAGGGGCAAGAGGGAGGCAAGGAAGGACAGAACCAGGGUGCCAGCUGCUGGGAGUGAGAGGAGGAGCAGUUUUUAGACGGGGCAUCAACACUGGCCCUGGGGGCAAUGAGGAAGAGGGAGCAGAGGGUGGGGUCCAGCUCUCCCUCUUGUGUUUUGUGUCCCGCCUUCUGUCCCGCGGGUGGAUAGACAGAAACCACUUCUCAGCCACAAUACAGCGUGGCAGUUAGGAGCCCAGGUUUUGAAGCCUGAACCUGGGUUCAUAUCCCAUUUCCACCACAUAGUCGCUCUGUGGCAUCAGGCAGGUUUACCCAACUUCUCUGUUCCUCGGUAAGGCUGUAAGGCAAGGAUGACAACUGAGAAUCGGUUACUGCAUUUCAUUGAUUCUAACGUUCCCGUUUUAACAUUUCUGAGCGUCAAGUGAAUCUUAAAAUCAAUGGCAUGUCGUGGAUUAAUUGGCAGUAUUCUUUAGUGGUACAUCAUACAUGGCAUAUCUGAAGACUGAUGGAGCCUCAGAUUUGAUGAACCACAAAAAUCACACAGAGAGACCAGUACCUGGUGUGCCAUAAGGGCUGAAUAAAUGUUAGCUAUUAUUACUGUCAUUACUUGCUUUCGGGAGUACUGUUCGUCAUACAAGGUAACAGAUGCUGCAUCAGAAUAAAGAGACAAAUAUAAUCUGGAGCUAAAAGGGAAAAGGAGCUAAUUCACAAAUAGCUAUAAAGGUGAAAGAAAUCUUAGUAAUUUCCCCUCCAGAAAAACACCCAAAGCGUAAUGCUUCCUCUGAAAGAUCCCACAGAAUUCUGCCAAAGUUCCAGAGAGAACUUCAGAAAUUCCUCCUUUACAAUGGGAGACCAGAACUCCUGGCUCCCUGACCGGCAGGGGGAACCAGGGCCUGUCCCCAGAUGACUUUGGGGGUGUUCCCUGUGUCCUUUCGAAUUUUCCUGAGUCACCAUUGCUCACUGCCCACAGUCAGGGCUCUGCCACCUUCUGACCAGGAGGCCGAUGCCCCGGGAUGAAGGGGCACCCUCAGACAGAAGUGUGAUUGUGGAAUGCUCAGCACGGGCCGUCACCAGCGCCCGGCUCAGAAGAGCAGGGUGACCCUCGCCGCCGUCUUAUUUUUGGCCUCUCGAGUUGUGUUCCUGCCUACUGACUUGGCAAAUCCUGGGCGACUCGCCUUGUUUUCUCUCCUCACUUAAAUACAUGUCUGGAAAAAGCCUCCGCCCCCACAGACCCUGCUGUGUGUGGAAAUGGUGACAGGCCCGGAGGAGGAGGAGGAGACACUGGGCGGCGGGUUCGCGGAGCCUCCCCCUCGAUGAGGCGGGGAAAGCGGGCAGAAGAGUUGGCCCAGGCCGGCGCCCUGAGGCCCAGCUGCUCAGGGAACCGUGGCUGGAAUCUCCUCUUGGUCAUCUCCCUCUCCUGGGCAUCACCUGGGCUUCUGAUGAAGCUUCCCAAGUGUGGGCACCUCUUUGAUCUGUGCAGCUCCCUACGUAAGCUACCUCUCUACUUGUCUCUUGACCUAUGAGCGCUGAAGAAUUGAUGCUUUUGAACUGUGGUGUUGGAGAAGACUCUUGAGAGUCCCUUGGACUGCAAGGAGAUCCAACCAAUCCAUUCUAAAGAUCAGUCCUGGGUGUUCUUUGGAAGGAAUGAUGCUAAAACUGAAACUCCAAUACUUUGGCCACCUCAUUCGAAGAGUUGACUCAUUGGAAAAGACUCUGAUGCUGGGAGGGAUUGGGGGCAGGAGGAUAAGGGGACGACAGAGGGUGAGAUGGCUGGAUGGCAUCACCGAUUCGACGGAUGUGAGUUUGAGUGAACUCCAGGAGUUGGUGAUGGACAGGGAGGCCUGGUGUGUUGCAAUUCACGGGGUCCCAAAGAGUCAGACACGACUGAGCGACUGAACUGAACUGAUGAUCUUAUUUGACCAAGUAUUUUGAAACUUUUGGACAACUGUUCCAAAUAUCAAAGUUUAAUUAUAUUUCUUUUAACUUCCAGCUGACUUUGGGAUGCUUUAGAGGACCCCUGAGGCAUCUCAGAGAGGAAUAUUUAACUUGUAUUAUUUGGCAUGGUGAAUUACAUAGGGAAACAUUGUCAAAUGAAUGAUAAAUCUCAGAUUAUAUGCCAUGGAUAAAUUCUACUAUAGAUAUUCUAGAAAUUACAUAAAGUUUCUGAAAUACGGAUAUGUCAUGGUAUAAUCUGUCAGCCAUAAUUCUGGUUAAAUCACAGGUUCUUGAUUAAGCUUCUUUGUCAACAUUGUGAUCUUUAAUUUGCCUUUUGAAGUCUUUGUGCGUGCGUGCAUGCUAAGUUGCUUUAGUCGUAUCCGACUCUGCAAACCUAUGGACUGUAGCCUGCCAGGCUCCUCUGUCCAUGGGAUUCUCCAGGCAAGAAUUACUGCAGAGGGUUGCCAUUCCCUUCUCCAGGGUUUCUUCCCAACCCACGGAUGGAACCCAUGUCUGUUAGUCUCCUGCGUUGGCAGGUGGUUUCUUUACCACCUGGGAAGCCCUUUUAAGUCUUUAAUAGACAGUUAGUCUGAUGCUUUGCAAAAAUACUUCAUCUUUAAGAAGUUUCAUAGGAAGGACUUUUUGUCAAGUACAGGUCUCUAAUAAAUUGCAGAC
ensembl:lncRNA